GUUUCUACAGACACACCUUCUCCUGAAUGCGCCACUUCUAUGUGUCUGUGUGUAUUUGAGUCUGUCAGCUGAAGUGAUUAGCGGCACAAUCAACGUGAGGUUUCACACGUGCUAUCAAUUUGCUGCACCUGUUACCAUAGUAACGGCGAGUGAUCGCCUCCCUGUUUGUACGCUCCCUGCGCUGUGUGUGUCAGCCUACCAACUCCAAAGUCAGACUGGAGGUAAGCGCCUUCCACCCACACACCGGUUGGAGCCCCUGCAUCCACAUCCGCGGGGAUUGAUGCGACCGUCCAUGUUCAAGGACUUGAUAAAUCAUGAAGGACUGCCAGACGUCGCGUUCAGGCUCGGCGUCGCCUCCGUGGAUGUGACCGCUCCCGAACGUGGCGACUUGGGCUCACGGGCGCAUUUGCUUUGCUUCAGAGUGACUCAUCGGUGCUGAGUGGAGCCAAACGGAGACUCACCCCCGUGUUGCAGGUUCACGUCCCGAGCUGUGAUGCGGCGCCAUGACAACAGGUGUGUGUGGUUAAUGAUUCAUCGCCUGUGGGUGUGUGUGUGACUGAGCCGGCUUUCAAACACACAUUACCGCCACUCCACUCUGCCUCUCGUCCCUUUUGUUGCUUUUUAGGGAUUCUCCUCAACAGAGUUGUGGCACCAGGACACAAGCGUUUGCUAAAGCAGCGGCUGAGGCUUCAGAGCGGAGGAGGCCGCGCUGCCGCUGGAGGAGCGGCUCUGCUGAUCGCCUUCCACGCUCCCACUGUGAAGCCCAUGACCAGGCCCGGUCCCAGCUCAGGUCCCCCCCCUCCGUCCUCCCAGCACUGUGGCUUCAGCUGGGUCUGGUUCAGAGCGGUGUCAGAUCCGCUCCCAGCGCCAGCGCAGCCUGAACACGCUGUGCUCCUCGUCAGCGCAGCACACAGUGACUCUUUCCUGCCUCUUUGAGAGUGCGCCGCCGUUGGAUCUGUGUGAAACAAAGGCGCUUACAUAACUCGGGCUGCGCUGCGUCUCUGAAUCAAACCCUUUGUGCAUCUUCAGGGAGCGAGAGACGUUGCGCAGAGGGAACUGGGCGACGCGGACGCCCUCUGGAAGCCCUCGCGUCCGUCUCUAGUUUGUUUUUACCGGCGUCGACACAUGAUGGGUGUCAUGGCCCCAAAAAGACGAGAUCAAUAAAGUAUAGCUCCAGUAAACGUGGUUUGGCGAG
rnacentral:lncRNA from 1 species